rnacentral:rRNA from 1 species
CGAACGGGUGAGGAUCACGUGAGAAACCUGCCUUUCAUUUUGGGAUAACACCGGGAAACCGGUGCUAAUACUGGAUACUCCGUCUUGGCGGCAUCGCCGAGCCGGGAAAGAUUUUUCGAUGAAAGAUGGUCUCGCGGCCUAUCAGCUAGUUGGUGAGGUAACGGCUCACCAAGGCAACGACAGGUAGCCGGCCUGAGAGGGCGACCGGCCACACUGGGACUGAGACACGGCCCAGACUCCUACGGGAGGCAGCAGUGGGGAAUAUUGGGCAAUGGGCGCAAGCCUGACCCAGCGACGCCGCGUGAGGGAUGAAGGCCUUCGGGUUGUAAACCUCUUUCAGUAGGGAAGAAGCGAAAGUGACGGUACCUAAAGAAGAAGCACCGGCUAACUAUGUGCCAGCAGCCGCGGUGAUACAUAGGGUGCAAGCGUUGUCCGGAAUUAUUGGGCGUAAAGAGCUCGUAGGUCGUUGGUCACGUCGAUUGUGAAAAUCUGAGGCUCAACCUCAGACCUGCAGUCGAUACGGACUAACUAGAGUGUGGUAGGGGAGACUGGAAUUCCUGGUGUAGCGGUGGAAUGCGCAGAUAUCAGGAGGAACACCAAUGGCGAAGGCAGGUCUCUGGGCCAUAACUGACACUGAGGAGCGAAAGCGCGGGGAGCGAACAGGAUUAGAUACCCUGGUAGUCCGCGCCGUAAACGGUGGGCACUAGCUGUGGGUCCCUUCCACGGGAUCCGCGACGCAGCAAACGCAUUAAGUGCCCCGCCUGGGGAGUACGAUCGCAAGAUUAAAACUCAAAGGAAUUGACGGGGCCCCGCACAAGCAGCGGAGCAUGCGGCUUAAUUCGACGCAACGCGAAGAACCUUACCAAGGCUUGACACAUAGCGAAAAGUGGCAGAGAUGUCAUGUCCGCAAGGGCGCUAUACAGGUGGUGCAUGGUUGUCGUCAGCUCGUGUCGUGAGAUGUUGGGUUAAGUCCCGCAACGAGCGCACCCUCGUUCUGUGUUACCAGCAUUUACGUGGGGACUCACAGGAGACUGCCGGGGUCAACUCGGAGGAAG